AAGAUUCCGGCGAUUAAAGUCCACCGGUGGUAAAAUAUUACCCAAAUCUACACUCCUUGACUCGUUUUGGGGCAUUUAAUUUAGGAGCAUCAAUGACGAAGAGAGACAGACCCUUCAAGAGUCAACGAACACAUACUGAAGAGAAGCGGCUAAGAUCAGACAUUGACGAUGCAGUUGACGAUGCUAUUCCAGUUGACGAGAAUUAUGGUUUGGAGUGAGUCUUGGUUCGGCUAUAAUGAGAUCUUGGUUAAUGGAUAAACUGAUAUUCGG